GAAGGGGUAACCAAGGCAUUCAGUCACUCAGAGGCAAUCGAAAAUUAACAGGAUCUGUACAAAGUGAACGUCAGAAAAGUUCCAAAUCCAAGGCUCAGGCCUUCUGGUGUAUUACACAGCAAACAUCUCACAGUAGGGAGGGGCAGGGAAUGGGGUGAGAUGGGUGGUGAGCAAAUGGCUUGGAGGGCCAGAGUCAUCUUCCUGGUCAUCCGAGAACAUCAGGAAAUGUCUCUUUUCCUUAGUCCUUGGGGCCGCUUUUUCAUUUCAUUUCCUCCUGCUUUAUCAGGAGAAACAAGGGACCAGCAAUGUCAGAGAUCCCAGACCAAAGAAAAGUAACUAGACCUUUGGGCCGAGGCUCAAGAAAUCCAACAAAGAGUGUUUUUCUCCUUCUCCCCCUUUCAACAGAGGUUCUCACAGAAAAGCACGAGAAAGACCAGUAUGCAUUCAACUCCUGUAUAAUGGAAGGCACCUCACUGGAUCUGGAUGCCCUAGAAUGGAUUAUUAUCCUCACUUUUAAUUGAGGGAGGAGCCACACUUCUAGGGAAGUCAGAAGUCUGGUUACACUUGUUCUUCCACCAGGAAGCCCCUCCCACAACCACCUGAAGAAACGAAAGGGGACUUUAGGGAACCUUGAUCUGAAAAGCUGUUGUUUGUUCUUUGCUGAACUGUUAGCGACACACACACACACACACACACACACACGCACGCACGCACGCACGCACGCACGCACACGCACACGCACACGCACACGCUCACGCACACUUCUAAGACAAAACUGCCUGAGCCAGUGAACCAGAAGGGGAAAUCCCCCCAGGAAACAGGAGGACAACAAGAAAGAUGAAAGAGUCGCACCCUUAUGACCUGACAGGUGCUAAAUUUGUGACCUGCCUUCGUGUUCCUUGACCACAGGGAAGGUCUUCCAGGGACCAAUGCUAGCCAUAAGGCGUUGCUGUGGGAGUGAGGUGGAGAACAACUGAAAUGUGUCCUCUGGGCCCCAGGAAACAGACCCCAGCCAUCCAGCAGCAGAUUACCCAGGUCUAGGAAGCCUAAGAAAACCAAGCCAGAACUCUUGUUGCAAAAAGAGGACUUCUCUCCUCCCUUCGUACUGCUCCAGCCAUUGCAGCCCUCUCCCUGGCAUGCAGGGAGAAGAGAAGCAUGGGCUCUGUCUGAGCAAACCCGGGGGUUGACAGCUCAGCCAUAGCACCGGCCAGACAUAAACAGCAACAGAUGUUUGUUGAAUGAAUGGACAACAUUAAUGAAUCCUAAAUGACCUUCUUUCAAGUCCCAGUGCUCUAGCUACGGAGAAAGGAAACCGAUGGCACAUCUCAUUCCAUCCCUAUAAUCCACCCUGGACAAGGAAAAGAUUCCCAUUUUGCAGUUCAGAAUUUAAGGUCAGGAUUGAGGAAACAGCUGAGCUGAUCUACCUGGCUGCCCUACCGAGGUCAGUGCUAGGGGGAAGCCAGUUUUUGCGGUGCGGUUAUCUGCAGGGUAUGGAAAAGCUGGCUCCCAGGAAUUGAAAAAAUAUCAGCUAAGUAGGGAAGGGAAGCGCUUCCCUGAGGGCUUGAGGGCCUAAGCUCUUUAGCCAUAAAGUGGCUGCACCCACAAGCUUCCUGGAUAUAAGGACACGUGGCCCUUGGGGCCCCACAACCUUUGUAGGUUUCUGGCUACCAGGUUCCCCCUUGACCCAGCCGGUCUGUCCGCUCAUUGACCUCUACCUGCUCCCUUUGAGCUCACCUGCCUCCUGCUCAGCCCUCCCAGAUCCCGCCCAAACUGCUCCACGUUCCUGACCCCGGUGCCACACCGAGCCUAUAGUCCGGGGGUCCCCACGCCCACUCUCCCCCCGCGCGCCGUGGCCCGCACUAACCCCGCUGGCCGCGUUUCAGUCUCAGGCUGGCUCGGAGGCGGCGGCCGAGCCCAUCCAUGGCCCCUCCAGUGCCCAGCGCCAGCUCCCACGUCCGCGCCAGCCCCGCCCCCCAAAUCCUUGACCUUCUUGGGGCCCUGGAACUUUCACUUUCACGCGGGAGGCGUAGGGACGGUGUGGGUGGGGCGGGGCAGCACACCUUCCGGGCUCCUGCCCAACCCCUGGCGCACCUGGGCUGGCCGCUCUUCUCGGGUCCCCACCCUACCCCCCUGCGCCUCUAGACUCAGGGUGCCAGAGGGCGCCCGAGCGUCCAUCCGGGAGGGGCGGUACCAUCUCACUGUCACCCUCUGUGAAACUUCACUUAACACUCUGGUAGUGCCUAAAGAGAACCCUACCUCCAAGGCAAGGACUGGAAGAUGCACCUCCAGGGUGUUUCCAAACUAUCCCGAGGUGUAGAACUCUCAGACCACACGCCCUUCCAACCAAUUCCUCCAUGCCUGCCUGUCCUUGCAACUAUUCAGAGACUCUGCCUACUUCCAGAUCUUUUUCUCUUCUCUUACCUAGGCACUCCUGAAAAGGGACUGCAGAAGUGGAUUAAGGUAGUGACCCUGCCUUCCAUUCAAUUUUCUUAGUCCACAGCUGAACAUCAUGAAGAUAAUACCUGCCUGGCUGCCACAAAGAUUUCUCAAUGUCAGAGAGUGGGAUUAAGAAACUUUCUGUAAACUUGUUAUAUGAUACAAAUGUAAAGGAUUCCUGUGGUCAGCUUUGUUACCACUUCCAUCCCCCUUCUAGCUCCAGAGAACAAUGCAGCCAUCCGCCUGUUCUUCUCUCCUCACCUCCACUGACUUCUACAUAGGCCCAGGUUUUAAACUGCAGUUACUAACUAUGACACUGUGAUAAGCACCCGCUGGGGGUUCUGUAGCACAUCCUUUCCUCCUCCCAGGGCAGGACAGGUUAUCUGUAAGAGAGGGAUAAGCAGAAUCAGCUUGAACCCUCUAUGUUCAUCAAGGUCUUAACCUUGACUUCAGGAGUAAGAGGCAAGCCAAAGCAAAAACCCACAAAGAUGACUGUGAUGCACACUCCUCUUCAGCCUCUCCAUGUCAUCUCCAGGUGAUUCCAUAGUCCUCAGCUCUAUAGUUCAGAAGGAAUUGGACAAUCAGCCCUUGCAUUAAACUGACCAAUCUGAACAGACACGUUCUAUGAGUUGCCUUUACUUUAGGUGCAAGCAACAUGAAAGGACAUGGCUGUCUCCAAGUGCCUUGUCCUAUGAGAUCUGCAGCGUCUCUAUCUUUCGUAAGAGAAGGAGCUGCUCAAGAAAACAUUGUCCAACUUGUUGAUGCUCUUGUGAUCUUGUGUCUUAAUUGGUCCAAUCUAAUUUACAGUGUUCCCAAAUAGAGCUUUCUUUCUUAAAAAAACAAACAAAAACAAAUUGAAACAAAACAAAAACAAAACAAAACAAAACAAAACAAAAAAACCCAGAUGAUUAAGAAUACAUGUGUACCAAGAAGACAAGGACAAGAAGAUUAAUGGAAACUGUUGAACAAGCCUUUAUGUGGAAACAACCUCACAGGUUCAGUAACACAAAUAGCUUUGUCUGUUUCAAGCUUUAUAUGGGUUUGAAGAUAACCCAUAGGAUGGACAAUCAGGAUAGUACAUCUUUUAGGGAGGAAGGAGAAAAUAAUGGCUGGGGAAUACCAUGAGACCUCUGGUGGGGUUUUGGGGUUGACCAUGUCUAACCUGAGGGUAGGAAUAUUCACUAGGUGGUUAUUUUUUGCACUAAAAAUAUAGGAACUUUGCAUAGUCGUAUGAGACUUUCACUUAGAGUAAUGUCAGGAUCUCAGUUAAUGGCAGCAGUGAAAAUGUGAAAAUGGAGGUGGAAAGGGAGCAAGAAUGAAAUGAAAAAUUAUUUAAAUAUGAGGAAGUAAAACCUACAUUUCUGAGAAGUAUGAAUAACAGCAGAAGAAAAGUUCAGUUUUUUAGAAUUGAAGGGAUGUUUGUGUUUAACGUGGUGGGUUCUUUGAGAAAGACAGGAAAGCAUUUGUGGGCAGAUAGGAAUGUCUCUCUCCCCCUUGUAACAAGUCCACUUCUCCGCAUAUAUUCUUGUUUCUAGUUUAAUGGAUUUUUUGAAGUCAGUUUUUGCAUGUGAGAAAGAAAAUGUGGUAUUUACCUUUCUGAUGCCAGAAGAGGGUGUCAGAUCUCAUUAUGGAUGGUUGGGAGCCAUCAUGUGGUUGCUGGGGUUUGAACUCAGGACCUUUGGAAGAGCACUCAGUGCUCCUACCCACUGAGCCAUCUCGCCAGCCCCUGGUAUUUACCUUUCUAAGUCUGGUUAUUUUACUUAAUAUGGUGAUCUCCAGGGCAUUCAUCUUCUUGACUAUGUCAUAAUUUUUCUCUUCUUCAUGGUUGAAUAACACUUCAAUGUGUAUAUACCACACAUUUUAUCCAUUCAUACAAUGGAUGGGUACCUAGGCGGAUUCCAUAAGUUGGAUAUUUUAUACAGUCAAGCAAUGGGCAUGGGUGUAUAAAUAUCCCCAGGGCUUCAUGUCAUGAGAAGUGGGAAAGAAGAAACCUGUCAGCUGGAAGCUUUUGCCAGCAGGCAAGCAAGAAUUCCAGCCCAAUUACCAAGUGCCUAAGGCCAUCUCCCUCCCAGCCACAAUCCUGCAGAUUUUCUAGGAGAAAAAAGGAGAGGGAGUCUAAGUAACCUUUUGAGAAGUAGUUUAAGAGUCAACAAGGUUCUCUCCCUCCCUCUGUCCAACUCUCCCCCCACCCCCCCGUGUGUGUAAGACAAUUGCUCAUUCUCCCUUGAGUCGAGCAUGAGCACAGGUGCCUCUUACCUCCCCCUCUUCUCCCUUGGGAAGCGCAUAUCCCAACAUGGACAUGCAUCGUUUCUUCUGAGUAUGUCUCAUUCUCAGAAUAAUGAUUAAGCCUAUAUUAAAAUCAUCAUUAAACAGAUUUUUAACUCUGCUUCACUAUAUUGGCCAGUCUCAAAAUUCUCUUCCACGGCAAGGCCAUCAUCUCCAAUUUGGCCUGAGUCGAGGUUCUUACAAGUUUAGGAGAACUGAAGCUGGUGAGGGUAGCAAUGUGGGGCUAUCGCCACUAACAUCCCUUUUAUUAUUGACUUCUGCUCCUUCAGGUACACACCCAGGAGUGGCUUAAGAAAAUUAUGUGGUAAUUCUAGUUUUGGCUUUCUGAGGGCCUCCACUGUGAUUUCCAUAGUGGUUGUACUAGUUCACAUUUCUAUCAGAAGUGUUUCUUUUCUCCUACAUUCUUUUCUUCCUUUACUGUUGUCUUCUUGAUGAUGAUUAUGACUGAAGUGAGCUGUAAUCUCAGUAUAAUUUUGGUUAGAAUUUUCUUUAUGAAUAAGAAUGUUUGAACAUUAAAAAAAAUGUAUUCCUUGGUGAUCUAUAUUUCUUCUUGUGAGAACUAUGUGAGAUAGAUGUGGUGAUCAAAACUAGCAAUAAUUUCAACGCUUGGGAGGCAGUGUCAAGAGGAUCAGAAUUUCAAAGUCAUAACUAUACAAGGAGUUAGAAGCCAAUCUGGUCUACAUGAGACCCUGUCUCAAAAGAUAAUAAACAGGCACCAACAAAAGCUAGA